GCAUUUCUUCCGACCUGGUAAAACCUCACAGUAGCUGGCGUGAUGGUUUUCUCCCAGUAAGCGUUCAGUGCAGAGAUGUUGACACACAGUGGAAAUGAGGAAACAGAAGAGAAAUAUGGGCACGGCUUAGUUAUUUUUCUAGAACUAUGUCAUUACCAAACACAGGUGAUGGCUCUAGUAGGGGUGUGGCCCAGGUGCACAGGACCUGUUUUGGCAACAUGUGCAAUAAAUAUACAGAGAGAUGCCAAUUCGAAGAAAGGUGUGUGCACAGAAGGAACUCAAAGACUUUUAUAUCUCUGUGAUUUCACGGUCUUUUUUUGUAACAUCUAGUACGCACCAAAUAUUCACAGGAAAACUUAUCCAAUUUUGUAACUUUUUAUUUUUAUACCAAAUGAAUGUACUUUUCUAGAUUUAAACAUAAGAUGUAGAAUUUCCAGAAACAGCUUCUUAUCUCAUAAUUUCUAAAUAAAUUUAAAUGUAAUUCAACUAAUUCACCUGUUAUGAUUCAAGUAUUUAUUUUUCAAUUGGAGAAAAAAAUAACCAUAUUACCGUGGUUCCUGAUGAAAAAAAUAAACAACACAAAAGUAUAAACAAUUAAGAAAUUCUGUGAGUGUACUACAGGCAGGGUGGCACUAAAAUAUCCACUCAGAUAUGGCUGGGGUGGCAGCCCCUGCCUCAUGGCUACAGAAACUCAACAGUUUUCCCUGCUACAAUAGCAGCUCCUUUUCUGCCAGCUGCUGCAGAUCUCACAGUUCUCUUUCCUUCUUUCUUUCCCAGUUCUUAUAUCCCCUCCACUGCCCCCAAUACCCUUCUUAUCAACUUGUCAGUGAUGGUUGGAGAGGUGAGUCCAAAUGACAAAGGCCAGGGUGGGGCACAGCCUGUCCUGUUUCCAUGAACCCCUCCCUCCAUCCCAGCCCUCUGUCCCCAGUACUGCAGCUCCUCCUCACCCCAGUGCCUGCUCCCUUGCAGUUUCCCUGCUCUGGUCCCAGGGCCUCGACGCGCCCUCAUAGGACACUCCUCACUCCAGAGUAUCUAUCCUGGUUUCUAUAUUCACAGCAUACAAAGCCCUAAUUCCAAGCCCAAGAUCUUCUUUGUCUAGCCGUAGGAAAUCCCACCAGUAGCUUCAAGCUGACAACCAACACGGAGCCGGCUGACUGGCAUCUCAAAAAAAAAAAAAAAAAAAAAAAAAAAAAA
rnacentral:lncRNA from 1 species